CAUUAUUCCUUACAUAGCAUUGGGUCCGGGCUUAGCCGGGCAUAACCGCACUACUAUAUAUAUAUAUAUAAAUUAGCCGCUAAUGAGAGAAGCUUAGGGUCGUUCAGGGAUAUUUUUGGUGGUUUUCACUUGCCUACACUGCGUAGAGAGCUGGUCUUUGUAUGGCACCAAGUGGACAUCUAUCUGCACAGAGCAGCAAGUGUAGCUCUGCUAAAACCGUGGAUCAUUGCUGAUAUUGUCUCUCGCUUGCUUUGACCUGCUUGAUGUUGUCUUUACGAAACUCAAUUUGAACUGCUGUCUUUAUUUCUAAGCUUUCUCAACGUAUUCCGUUUAUAUGAGUUACAUGUACAGUUAUUAGGGUGUAUGUUGAUCCCUGGAUGGAGAAAAGCCAUGCUCAAACCUUACGGAGAGUAUUCAGGAUGCCGACAACCAAGUUCAGUUGCUUUAUACUGUGGCGCUUCCGAUUGAACAGCCACAUGAAGAAGGAAAGAGUUGAGCAAGAUUAUAUGACAGAUGAAGAAAACAAAAGGAGAAGGGGCAUGGAUGACGGCCACAAAUAAUCACAUUGGAAGACAGCAAUGAGUUUGGAGGCUGGAGCUCCUGAAACACAAGUUAAAAUGAUGCAUCAAGAUUACUUCACAGAGUGAUGACUUAUGCACAUGAAGGUUGUUAUCGUGAUAAUAAUUCAUUUACCAAUGCACAUAUAUACCCAAUCUGUUUCAUCACUUCUGUUGGAGAAGAAACUAGACUCGGCUUGAGGAAGAAUAAAGAGGUUACUGUUGUCAGAAAAAAUUACUUUGGCCCCGACAAGAAGUAGUGUUUAGACAUAGGCUCAAAGUUGAGGAGACAACUCAAAGUGGAGGACACAUGGGGAUAUAGGUUAUGUACAAUAUGUUCUAACUUUAGAAUAUAAAACUCAUUUUAUUCCUCUUAAAGUGAUGGGCACAUGUAUAUGUAAUGAUACACACAAAUUGUAGCCUAACGGUGAUAGUUCUUUUCUUUGUAUAAAUAUAGGAAUAACAUUGUACAUAUCACACAAGAAAUAAAAAAAUAUUUUCAUACCAUCUUUCUUGAAUUCCUUCAUGGUAUCAGAGCAAUACCUCACUGAUCUUCUUUCAAUUUUACAUUCAUCUUUUCAUUUCUUUUCUUUGAACACUUACAGAAUGGGCACUGAAGAACAGUCUUCCAAAUCCAAAAUUGAGAUUGAUGUUUCACAUCCUUAUUUCCUCUCCUCUUCUGAUUCUCCUGGUAUGAAUCUCAUCAAUACUACAUUUGAUGGGACCAGCUAUGGAAAUUGGAGAAGGGGAGUCCUUAUCUCUUUAUCUGCCAAAAAUAAAUUGGGAUUCAUCAAUGGAACAUGUGCAAUGCCAAAAAAAAAAAGAUUCACCUCUAUUAGUUCAGUGGACACGUUGCAAUGACAUGGUAAUAGCAUGACUACUUAAUUCUCUAAGCAAAGAAAUAGCUGAGAGUGUUAUUUACUCACAAACAUCUGCAGAUCUAUGGAAUGAACUAGAGGAAAGUUGUGAGUGCAAUUGUGGAGCUAAGGAGCACAAUCACAAGAUGUUGGAAGAUCAGAAAUUAAUACAAUUUUUGAUGGGGCUAAAUGAGACCUACAACACAGUCAGAGGAAAUGUGUUGUUGAUGAAGCCUCUCCCUACCACAUCACAAGCUUACUCUAUCAUUUUACAUCAGGAGUCACAAAGAGAGGUACAUUCUACUCAUCAAAUUCCUAAUGACUCUUCUGCUUUCAUGACUAGGUAGAAAUGGGCUCCACAAAAGAAAGUUAUGAAAACUAGAGGAGCAAGUCACUAUCCAACAAGAAAGAAUGAUUUAUAUUGUAGAUAUUGCAAGAAAACAGGUCAUGAAAAACAGCAGUGCUAUAAAUUAGUAGGAUAUCCUCAGCACUUCAAGAUUAACAGAAUAGGGGAAAUUUUGAAAACCAACAAGUAAAUGUUGGAGAAGUUGAUGAAUCUCUCACCUCAGGAAUUAGAGGAAAUGCAGUCUCAAAUAUGGUUACUGGCCAAGGGUUCUCUAAGGAACAAUGUGACAAGUUGGUUCUAUUGCCUCAACUUCUGAACCCACUGCAAGUGCAAACUUGGCUGGUAUUGAAGCUAAUUGCCAUAUUUUCACUUCAUUUUUUUCUAGUAUUCCUAGAGUUCCUUGGAUAAUUUACUCUGGUGCUACACAACACAUGACUUUUAAUAAAUCUCUAUUACAUGAUGUCGUAGUACUUAGAACACCUAUAUCAGUUAAUUUACCUAAUUCAUAUAAAGUAAUAGUUACAUGUGUAGGAAAGCUUCAAUUGUCUCCUAGUGUUGUGCUUCAUAAUGUGCUUCAUGUUCCAACAUUCAAGCAUAACCUUCUUUCAGUCAAGAAACUAUGUGAGCAAUUCAAUUGUAGUAUGACAUUUGACAAAAUUGGUUGUUAUUUACAGGUCCCUUCCUUGAGGAGGGGUCGAGUUUUUGGUGAUGCCUCUACUGGUCUUUACCUGGUGCAGAAUAACUCUCUUCAAAUCCAAGCCACACCCGACAAAAGCAUUGCUCCAAUGUCUUCUUCCAACCAGUUGUCCAAGUCAAGUUGUUUAGAGUCUGUUUCUUUUCCAGUUUCUCUUUGUCAAAGGCCCUUGUGCCUCAGUCUUCAGAGUCAUGUUAUUCCUUUUGUCAUAAAAAUUUCAGUAAUAAUAAAAGUAUUACUGAAUUGGAGAGCUUGUGGCAUAAUAGAUUGGGACAUUUGCCCUUUUAUGCAAUGAAACAUAUAAAAGGAUUACCUAUAAAGUUCACAAAAAAGAAAGAAUUUCCUUGUACCAUUUGUCCUUUAGCCAGACAAUCUAAACUCCCUUUUCCCAUUAGUACUAUCAGAUCCAAAAAGUGUUUUGAUUUGAUUCAUAUAGACACAUGGGGACCAUAUAAAACUCCUACUUACAACGAGGAGAAGUAUUUUCUCACAAUUGUUGAUGAUUUUUCCAGAAGCACUCGGACAUUUCUUCUCAAUACUAAAUCCAGUGCAUUUCCCACAUUAAAAUCCUUCUUAGCACUUAUUGAAAGACAAUUUUCUGCUAAGGUUAAAGUUAUAAGAUCUGAUAAUGCUUUUGAAUUAGGUACAAGACAAAUUCCUAAAAAUUUCUUUUCCUCACAAGGCAUAAUCCAUCAAACCUUUUGUGUUACAACACCACAACAAAAUGGUGUUGUAGAGCGGAAACAUAGGCACCUUUUGGAAACCUGUAGAGCCCUUCUUUUCCAAUCACAUGCCCCUAAAAAAUUUUAGGGAGACUCUUUGUUGACUGCCAUGUACUUGAUCAACAGGUACUUCAAAAUAGAUCACCAUAUCAGGUUCUUUUUGAUAAACAACCAGAUUAUCACUCUCUUAGACCUUUUGGAUGUUUAUGUUUUAGUUCUACCUUGUCUCGACAUAGGGAUAAGCUUGAUCCUAGAGCAACCCCUGGUGUUUUCUUGGAUAUCCAUUUGGGAAGAAAGGGUAUAGGAUUCUAAAUUUACUAUCUAACCAGGUCAUUGUUUCAAGGGAUGUGAGAUUUGCUGAAACUAUUUUUCCUUUCUCCUUUUCCGCUCCAAUAUCUAAAUUAUUUCCUGCCAGCUUCCUCCUUACUCAUGAGUCUUCUACUCCUAAUUUUGUUACCACACAACCUCAGCAUGCUUACUCUCAUAGUUCACCUGUUCAACAGCUACCAUCUCAUUCAUGUCCUAGUUCCUCUCCUAUCCCUCUGUCUAGUCCAAUUGUAUCCCCUUCCUCAGUUCAAACUACUCCUCCGACAGAGGCCUUACCCUCCCCACAAGGGCCAGUCUUGCGACGAUCACAAAGAGAGCAUCACCAACCAUCUAUUUGUCAGAUUAUAUCUGUAAUACUGCAUAUUCUACUUUUUCUCCUAAUCCUCCUUUACUUCCCAUACAUUCUUUUGCUUUUUAUGCCCUAACAAAAGAUAAUCAGAUAAUGAUAAAUUCCAUAUGUCCAAAUACAAGAACCUACUUCUUACCAUCAGGCAACCAAGGAUUCAGGUUGGCAACUUGCUAUGGAAAAAGAACUUGACGCACUAGAAUUCAAUCGCACUUGGGACAUUGUUAUUUUGCCAGAAGGAAAAAAGGCUUUGCCCUGCAAAUGGAUAUAUAAAGUGAAGUUAAAGUCAGAUGGAUCCUUGGAAAGAUUAAAGGCACGUCUUGUUAUUAGAGGGGAUACACAAAGGGAAUGUUUGGAUUAUAUAGAAACGUUCUCGCCAGUAGUAAAAAUGACAACGAUUCGAUGUAUUCUUACCAUUGCA